rnacentral:lncRNA from 1 species
GGCUGAUGUGUGGAAGAAGGUAGUUUCGAGCAUCAGAAGCAAUAGGUAACUGCCCCAAAGCUUGUAAUGUUCUAAUUGCACUUAGCAGUCUCAGCUGUAAGGUUGAACAGUGUGAGUUCCUCCAGCUCGGGGCUGGGGGAAUCCCUGAUGAGAUUUCAUUUGAAGCAUUCUGGUGAAAGCACACACGAAUUUUCAGAACUCAGAAUAAAAGACAUGUCACAAAAAGAAAUCUGACUUUGGGCGAGAAAAGUAGUUCAGUAAAUUAACAAACUAGGACUGAAUUUAUUGAAAGGAGCAGAGAGGCAAGGAGAAGAGCCACAGGGUUAGAGUGAGAACUGAAACCUGAAGAGAGCUUAGGCAGCUGGGUUCUUUUGUAGAGCUGUUAACGGUGGAUUGGGGUGCAGAUGUAGCUUGGUACUAGAGCCCCUCUGUAGCCGUGUGGAAGGUCCUGGGUCCAAUCAAUACUACAAACACAAAAAAUAGUUACAAUGUGGUUUUGAUAACUGAGUUAUAUGCCCACGCCAUGCUUUUAUGCCAGAGUUAAAGUUGCAUCUGCACACUGAGGAAGUUUUCUAGUAGACUCUACAGAGCAUCAGCCACCAGUGGGAGACGGUCUUGAGAUUAAACCCUUAACUGUCGGUAGCAGUGAUAACCAAAGGAUGAAAUGGUUUCAGUAUUCAUAGCAAAAACAUGAGCUCUUGAGAGUUAGGUGCACUUAAUGGCUUAGUUACCAUUCUGUUGCUAUAAAGAGACACCGUGACCAUAGCAACUCAUGAAAGAAAACAUUUCACUGAGGCUGGCUUACAGUUCAUAGGUUUAGUCCAUCGUGGUGACACGCGUGGUGGCCUGCAGGCUGACAUGGUGCUGGAGAAGGAAGGAGCUGAGAGCUCUACACCCAGAUCCACAGGCAGCAGGAAGAGAGGAUGACACUGGGAUUGGCAUGGGCUUUUGAAACCCCAUUGACACACUUCCUUCAGCAAGGCCACACUUCCCAAUCCUUCCAAGUAGUACCACUCCCUGGUGACCAAGCAUUCACUUCUCUGAGCCUGUGGGGGCCAUUCUUAUUCAGACCACCACACCUGUGCGCAGAAAGUGUAUCCCAUGGCUACUUCAUUGACUUAGUCAUGUCGUCUGGGUUACAGGGGCCUUUGCUCUUUGGCUCUGUGAAUAUGGAUGUUCCAGAUAUGAGUUUGUAGGUGUUUAUAUUUUUGUUUCCAUGCCUCUAGGGCAGAGUGAGAUGACCUAAUGUUUGUACUUGGUGGUGAGCUAGGAGAGUCUGUGCAUUGCUGCCUCUCCUGGGCUGUUCUGAGAUGUUGUACAGGGCAGUGUUGCAGAAGAGCAGCAUGAACACACAGAAACAGCCUUCAUAAUUAACCCCACAUGGGUCUGAAGUCGGCUCCGUUCACUGGCUUCCUGAUACUUGGCUAUUCAGGCUGUCUUCUCUAGCACACUUCUUGCUCACUUAUAGACUGUAUUCCUACCCCCCCCCACACACACACGUUACUAAACUAUAAAGAAAUAAAAUGGAAUGCCCUUACAUUUGCCUUCCCUUAAACAUCAUAAAGGAUAAACUGUACCAUGCAUCUAUCUAUAUGGUUUUUCCCAAUACAGUUAAAAUAAAAUCUUACUUGCC